rnacentral:lncRNA from 1 species
GCAGGAUAACUUUCACUGGGGCUCAAACUGUAAGCCUUUUGGCUUUACCUGAUUGACCAGAAGCACUUGAAAUCCUUAUUUGAAACUGAGAUGACAAUGGCGUUAGUACAUUUGCAAGUGAUUUAUGUAUAGACUCAUAAUGUGAGUGAAAAACGCCACGGCUAAAUCUGUCGUUGAGUUGACUGUAACGUUACUGUGGCGGAAAUGAAUCAACUGGCUGAUUCGGAAUGCGGAAGAACGUGUGCAUAUACCGAGUAGUUUCGUUACACAGCAUUGCCAACGCUACGGUAGGUAACAAGCGUAAAUUUACCUCAGCUAAUGUAGUUCACAGAAACGAGUUGAUUUAGGGCCUUCGUGACAUGCACCUUUACUUUUGACUAGAUAACCUAUGUUUCAACAGCCGAAAUGUUUGAACUUGUCUUGAUACUUAAAUUUGUACAUACAUGCCAAAGAACCGGCACGUCAGUUUAGGUCACAAUAAAACGAACGUGAUAUGCAUGUGUAUGCACGUGAUAUGCAGGUGUUUACUGUGCAGCUUAAAAGGACUUAAAUAAAACAUUUAAUGCAGACGUCUGAAUUUGAUAAGCUACACUUGUUUUACUUAUUAACUGUUAGAUGGGGUAGUGUUUAGUGACAACAGCUGGUUACCUAUCUUACAUCAUUAGAAUGAAAUGCUAACUAGCUAACUAGGCUUAAUUUUAGUGCAUCAUCUAAUUUUGUUAAGUUGGCUGCGGACACAGAUGACAUCGGUUUAUGUAUUUGUGCUCUUAGGGGAAGCACAGUAAAGCUGAUUUCCUGUGUUUAAAACCACCAGCUGCCACUGCUCUCUUAAUACCCCUGGAGAAAAGGUAUUACCUUUGUGCCAUGUUGGAGAUACCAAGGACAGAACCCCACCAGUGUCACCUGUCUUCAGCUCUCCUGGUACUUAAUGUGGUCACCAUGGUGAUGAGGCAGACUAUCGGUCAGUGCCAUGGCACUGCCCAAGUGGUACAUGAUGUUCAGAGAUAUGUUCUGGCAAUGAGAGCACUUGAUUGCCGUCUUUACACACCAACUGUGGAUGACUACAAGGCAUCAUUCGAGUGUGCACCCUCAUGACACCAUUAGUAAUGCUG